rnacentral:rRNA from 1 species
AACGAACGCUGGCGGCAUGCCUAACACAUGCAAGUCGAACGAGACCUUCGGGUCUAGUGGCGCACGGGUGCGUAACGCGUGGGAACCUGCCCUUAGGUUCGGAAUAACUCCCCGAAAGGGGUGCUAAUACCGGAUAAUGUCUUCGGACCAAAGAUUUAUCGCCUUUGGGUGGGCCCGCGUUGGAUUAGCUAGUUGGUAGGGGAAAAGCCUACCAAGGCGACGAUCCAGAGCUGGUCUGAAAGGAUGAUCAGCCACACUUGGACUGAGACAAGGCCCCGAAUCCUACGGGAGGCAGCAGUGGGGAAUAUUGGACAAUGAGCGAAAGCCUGAUCCAGCAAUGCCGCGUGAGUGAUGAAGGCCUUAGGGUUGUAAAGCUCUUUUACCCGGGAUGAUAAUGACAGUACCGGGAGAAUAAGCUCCGGAUAACUCCGUG